rfam:Zea mays cultivar B73 chromosome 6, whole genome shotgun sequence.
CCGUAAAUGAUGAUGGUACUCGAAUUCUUCUUCAGGACAUUUAACUAGAUAAUGCAAAUUCAAGUUUCUGAUGCG